CCUACGGGAGGCAGCAGUAAGGAAUAUUGGUCAAUGGACGAAAGUCUGAACCAGCCAUGCCGCGUGAAGGAUGAAGGCCCUCUGGGUUGUAAACUUCUUUUAUCUGGGACGAAAAAAGCUCAUUCUUGAGCACUUGACGGUACCAGAGGAAUAAGCACCGGCUAACUCCGUGCCAGCAGCCGCGGUAAUACGGAGGGUGCAAGCGUUAUCCGGAUUCACUGGGUUUAAAGGGUGCGUAGGUGGGUCUGUAAGUCAGUGGUGAAAUCUCCGAGCUUAACUCGGAAACUGCCAUUGAUACUAUAGGUCUUGAAUCAUCUGGAGGUAAGCGGAAUAUGUCAUGUAGCGGUGAAAUGCUUAGAUAUGACAUAGAACACCAAUUGCGAAGGCAGCUUACUACGGGUGUAUUGACACUGAGGCACGAAAAGCGUGGGGAUCAAACAGGAUUAGAUACCCUGGUAGUCCACGCCCUAAACGAUGGAUACUCGACAUCAGCGAUACACUGUUGGUGUCUGAGCGAAAAGCAUUAAGUAUCCCACCUGGGAAGUACGACCGCAAGGUUGAAACUUAAAGAGUAGUACGACGNGAGAGAGACGACGACGACGACGAGGAGGGAGGAGG
rnacentral:rRNA from 1 species